UAUGCGACGGUUCUCUGUCCCUGGCAAGAUACCAUGUGAAUGUCUAGCAGUCUCUAUGCGGUGACCGCAAUCCUGUACUGAUUAAGCGAUCGCCUUGGUUAAGCGACCAGGCACUGCUGUGCAUUCUUCCUGAAUGUUUAAUUCAGUCAUUUCCUGUUUAGCACGUUUUUUCACGAGCUUAAUACGCAUGGAUUGAAAUUCUCCUGUCUGAGAAUAUGUUCAAUUCCAUGACAAACAUCUGGCACAAAUCUUGAUGGUUUUGCCAAUUCUGGUUCAUGCAUAAUGUCUCUAUGCCCAUGGUACACGUCAUCACUCGGACUUCCGGGCGCGUUUGUUUCUUCGUGUUUAUAUACUCCGGUG